UAAGCAUGGUGCUUGGAGAUAGUUACCCUCCCAAUAAUGUUUAGCUCAAAACAACAACUUCACUGAAUAUACAUAAGAAAAUUUAUUCAAUAAAUUAACAAGAACACAGAAUCAUUAUGCGAUCAUUAUCACAAUUCAAUUAUUGUAUUGUACAGAUUGAUAUAACUUGAUUACAUUAAUGUUUUAAUUAUAUAUAAUGAUGGGAUGAAGACUUGGUGUACAGUUGAACAAGAUUUGAUUAAGAAAUUUCCCACUGAUAAAUGUUUAUUAAUAUAAAGUACGGUACCAGUGAAAGUACUCUAACAGAUCAAUAUUCCCCAAAAAAACUUUCUACAAGGGAUUAUUCUUCUGUUAAACCUGCUAAUAAUAAUGAGUAUGCCUUGAUAAAGUACAAUGCACUGGAAAUUACAUAGAAUAUGCAAGUAGAAAGUUCUGAUAUCAGUGUAAUAUAAUACCCAUCCAUAAACUGACGAAAUAAAGCACUUAUUAAGUUCCAUAUGGAUGUGGGGAAUCAAUACUGCUCUAAAAAUUUAAAUUUUUCUGUCACCAUCUCAACUUACAUUUCAUCAGCUCUGCAUGAAAACACACUACCAUACAGCUGUGCAACCUGUUACCAUUUGGGGGAGGGGGUGUUGGUUGUGUGUCAACAACUACAUUUACACUUCUACACUGGUCCCAGAUUCAUUUUUUUUUUCACAAAAAAAUCACACAUCCAUUGAAUAGUAAAAUUAUCAGACAUAAUGAUAAAACAUGUACACUAAUAUUUAAAGUGCUCAAAGUACAGAAACUUAUGAUGUAUUUGGUUGUAAUUCUGAAGGAACGCAAAAGAAGGCAAUUAAUGCUUAUGCUUUAAGGCUUCAGUAUCGUGUGCUUUUUGUAAACGAAAUGAACAGAAUUUGCUCAUAAUAAUUUGUUCCAAAAGGAUUUAGGAUGGCAAUAAAAGGCAAUGGUACCAGAACUACGUACAGGAGAAUGACCCUCUGUUUCACUUUCUUUAUAAGAUUUUCCACAGGUUUUCAUAUUGAUAUAUAUAUCAAACAUAUAUAUAUAUACCUUUAAUGGAAAAGAUUAGUAAAAAUUAGGAUUAAUUUUUUUAUCAUAAAUAUAUCAUCAAAAUAUAUUUUAAAACGUUUUUUAAAGCUUUCCUGUUUUGCAACAUAUAUGUUUGUAUAGGGAUUAUAUAUAACAAGUCUCGCACAUGUCUGUAACAUUUUUUGUGAUGUCAAGUUGUGCCGGUAAUACCCAUUGAAUACAUCAAGGCAAACUGGAUUCAUAUCUUGACUUUGAGUUUCUUGAUUUUAAAUUCAAUUUUACAAUAACAAAAUGUUUCUUUUGUUACAAAUUGCUUCAUGAAAUACCUGUAACAACUGAAGGAAGAAUAAAAAUAGGAAAAAGAGUUGUCUCCUUCAUUAGGUGAUCAUUCUCCUUAAAGACAAUUUUACAGCUACAUCAAAUUUAGUCAAAUUUCAAUAACACCCCCCCCCCCCAUCUUUUGACAAAUAUCUUAAUAUCUUGAAAAUAUUAUAUGUUUGUGACUAGAAAUGUGGCAAAUUCAAAGCCCUUUUUAUGAAGCUUACAUUAAAAAAUAACAUCCAACAUUUUAAAGCAAGAAUCAAAUAAAGCUUAUCUCAAAUAAAUGACAUUUUAAAACUAAAUAUUAACAAAGUACUAGGAUAAUCACAAACUAGCAAGCAAUGUUUUAAAAAUGAAUACAUCAAAUAAAACUAUGAACAAAGCAAACUGAAUACUUUGAAGAAAAAUAACUCUAAACAUGUAUUACAUAUAUGUACAUAAGUUUGCCAUCUUCGCAAAGAUUCACUUUUUUAUCUACAAGAUCUGUCUGUUAUUAAAGCCUUAAUAAACUUAAUAUGGAAAAUUCUGACUUCCAUCUCAUUUUGUUUAGCUAUAUUACUUAGAUGAAAGGUUAAGUAAUGUUAAGUAAUAAUUAACAAAAAAAAUUAGUUCAAAAAAAAAUGACAUUCUUAUUCCUGGCCUCAAAACUUUCAUAAUGCCACUUUCACUUUACAAUAUGCUGCUGGUGUGCAUGCGCUGUAUGGCAGAUUAAAAAAAGGUCAUACCAUGGUUUUCUACAUCAACAGAAAUUCAAACUAAUACAAACAUGUACCGAUUAGUUUUAACUAAUACAUGUAAAAGUACAUACACAAGUUCUGAAAGACUCACUAAGAGAGAGAAAAUUGAUAUGAAAAUGAACAUGAACCAACAAUUAACAUUUGGCAUGAGAAACUUACUGCAUGAAUGAUUGAGAAAGCAAUGCUUAUCACAGAAAAAAAUGAAUGAGUGUGUGUGUUUAUUCAUGACAAAGGCACAUACAUAUUUUACAAAGAUAUACCUAAAAAACAAGGAUUUCACAUUUAAUAGCACAGUAAGACAAAGUAUGGAUGGCUCAUUAUAAAGAUAAAACAUUUAACUUGUUUUUUUUUUAUUAUUUUAUAACACCCCUGCCCCUCCAAAACUGUUAAAAAAAGAGAACUUAAAUUUUAGUUAUAAAGAAAUUAUGUUACCAUGAGCACACCAUCACAAUGUUCAGAGAUCUCGAAAAUUAAGCAAAUACACAUUUAACAUUGUAGAAUAAUAACAUAAUCUGCAACAAAUGAUCAUAAUGCAUAUUUUUUUAAGAGUUAAUCAUUCAAACUACGAAGAAGUACCACAGCUAUUUAGCCUUACUUACGUUCUUGAGCCAUUUGCAAUGUUUAAAUUAUAUAAACCUCUCAAACUACUUAAUAAACAAAGUGAUCUUAUAAAAAACAAAACAAAACAAAAUUUUUCUCUCUGUGUUUGGUCCAAUCUGUAAAAAUUAUUACUGUUUAUGAAUUUAAAUUAAAAAUGUCAAGGAAAUGCAUGUUUCAUAUUUCUAAUGGUCUGAUAAUGAAUAUUAGAAUAUUAAUGUUGAUAUAGGCAAUAGCAAACAAAAAAAAUUCAUAUCUGCGAUCUUAAAUAUACACAGAGUAGGAUUAAACGUUUCAUUGGGAGAUGAACAAAAAAGUGUGAAUGGUAUUUAAACAAUACAGAUACAUGAAUCUUAUAGCUGAAGUUUGAUUGGGAACUGAACUAGUAUUGAUACAAGUUUGGCCCAUAAUUACGGAACUUGCUGUGUUUGUGGGUUACCGGCUAGUUUCCUAAUGCUGCUAUUAAGCUGAUGAAGUUUUGGCAAUGCUUUUUCAACUAUGUGAAAAGAGAAAUUAAAUUACCUCCUUUGUAAAAGAAUUCAACUGUUUUUUUAAAUUUCUAUUUUAACUCCUCCCCCCAAAAAAUUUUCAUAUGUUCUGAAUGUAUGUAUUAAAUGCUAUUAUAUACUGAUAAAUUUUAAGCUGCUGUUGAUAAGUCUGAUUUAAUAACUCCUUGAAAUGACUUGAAUUAAACAGGUAAACAACACCAUCCAUUUUUUUUUUUCCACUUAACAAUCGAUAUUGAAAAAUCAAGAUUAAAAAUUUGAAAAAAAAAAAAAAAAA